ACCCGCGCCGCGUGGGGUGAGCGCGCGGCGAGGUCGCUGGGCGCGGCGCCUGCGCGCGGCUGGCCGCGUUGUUCCCUGGUGGGACGCCGCCGAUCCAAAGCCCCAAGGCUCCCGCUGGCUCCGGCCGUGCAGCGGGCUCUCCGGUGGCGGUGCAGGUCGUUCCCGGCGACGUGGUAAAAAAAAAUUAAAAAGAAGUCUUGAUAAUGGAAUUAUCCCCACUGUAGACUCUUGGCCAGCUGAAGACUCUUGGCCAGCUGAUGGUCUGGCUAUGAGUGAAUUUUCAGAUCCAGUCCAGUCCAGUGUCAGGCAACAUACACACCAUUAUGAAGAUGCCAUAAUCUGUUCUUGGUUUAAAAGCUCUGGCUACUGCAAGCCAUUCAGGUACAAGUGACUUUCCACUUCAGGGCCUUUGUUGUCAGAAGCUUGGCCUUAUCAACUGGGAAAUGCAUUCUCGGCUUCAGAAGAACAAGUUUUACAAAACACUACGCAGUUCCAGCAACGAGUGGGAAAAAUGUGAGAAACGUAGCAUACAUGUGGAUACACAACUCACCUUUAUUAGCAAAAUCUGUUCAGACAGUGUGAUAUUCCCUCAUGGAGCAAUCUGCAUGGUACUUGUUGGGAGAAGCACAGGUUGCAGGAAGGAUGAGUUUGGAGGAGGCACCAGGAAGUCAGUUAGUUUGCACAUGGCUGAAAUGCUAGCUGUAAUUGCAAGAUCUCUGUAAAUAGUUCUAUUAAUAGCCAGUUUAGUUUUAGAAACAGGGUGUCCUCUCAUGUUAUUACCCAGCACUUGGUUCAUGGAACACUUCCCACUUCCAUUAUUUAUGCAUUUAUUUCUUCUGCAUUGAUCAACAAUCUCUAACCAAACAUUACAAAAUGUCAUCUCCAGGACCCAGUGCAACUCUCAGCCCUUAGUCUGAAAACAACUGGUAGCAGAGAUGAGCUUUGCAGCAUGCACUGAAAAUCCAGAAACCUGGGCUCUGGUGGGUCAAAGAAGGAAUUCAGUUCCUGAGCCAAGUGGAGAGGUGGUCGCUGAAACAGGCAGGGCCUUAAUCAUAUAAUGUUUUAUGAGAUAAAGGUAACCGUUUAAAUUUCAUUCAGAUAUCAUCGGGUUGACAGUGCAGAUCAUAGAGCUCCAGUGUAAUGUGCUCCCUGCGGGAAACGCUGCUAGUAGGUAGACUGGGAAAGAACAUUGCUUCGCAAGAGAGCCACCUCCUUCUGCACUAGCUGAAGGUUCCAAAUGAUCUUGAGUUAUGGCAGCCAUGUAGCAACCCACUAUAAUAAUCCAAUCUGGAGGUGACAAAAGCAUGGAUGACCCACUAGGGAUCUCUAGGAUACAGGGAUGCCUGGCCGUACCCACUUUUUUCCAGGCCAAGCUCACUGCACCACUAGGUGGAAGGGAACAGGUGUAGGAGCUAUUCUGUUGUCUCUAUGCCCCUGAAGGAUUCCCCUUCACAAAAGAAAUCUUCAUGCGGGCUUUGUAGCACUGGAGGAUCUGGUUCAGUGGGUGCGUGCUGAUCUUUUGUCAUAAAUAUAUCAUUUUUUUGAGCCUGGUUUUGUAAUUCGUACAUGCACAGAACUCGCAUUGAAAUCCGUAGGAGUUCCCUUUGUGCAGAUCAUGCAUGAUUGGGCCCCUGUAUUUCAUAAAACUUUCUGAAUGCAGACUGAAUUUCUUCCUCCUGUAUUCAUUGUUGUAUUACCUCACUUUAACAGGAACGACAGUCAGCUUGAUAAAUGGAUUAAAAGGUCACUGGUUUCCCUGUUGCUCCUAGACUUUCACACUGGAGCAUACUUGUAAAAAGAUAACAUUUAUACAAAAAGCAAUUUCUUGGCUGGUUGUUUCCUGUAUUCCCAUCAGUAUCACUGAAGAUAUUUAUGUCUCCAUAUCAAUCCAAUUUUUCUUGCUUGAUUCUGCACUGCAGUCACAGUGUUUAUAUUAGUCUGUUGCUGUGAAAAUUAAUGUGACAACACAAAAUGCAGCAUUGUGACUAAAGGUGUGUAACAUACUCCUAGAGAAAUGAAAUAUUACUUGAAAUUCAUGGCAAUAUUCCCCACCACACACACACCUCCACCCUGUUCCAAAUCUGAUGGGACAAUUUUCAAAAGGGUCUAUAUUUUCCAAGCAAAAAAUGGGCACUAUUUUUGUUGGAAAUUGGCAAUUUCUUGAGCAGAUCCAGUCUCAUUUGCAAAUGAAAGUAACUCUACUUUCCACAUUGGAAACACAUGGAAAUUCAUAUUUUGAGAACUCUUGCAGAACAAAAAUAGACUCUGUCUCUGUUUUUUGCACUAGUGUGGAUACACCAGUGUAGAUGUGAUGCACUGGUGCAUGAUGGGAACUCUAUUAGUGUGACUUAUCCUAGUGAUUACUGGGGUAAAUUAGACAUUUGCCAUGGUGAAACAGUUUUGAUGUUGCUACAUUACAAGUUGCCCUAGUCUCAACAAGUCCAUAGCCAUGUCAAAAUUACAAAUAAAGGUCAAAUGGUGGGGACAAAACGGUGCAAACAUUACAAAAUUUCACACAAGGUCCCAUGAAAUUGGUGAUAGCACACAGCACUAACUCUGGCUCCAGUGAAGGUUUCACCAGGAGACAAUGGACUGAGAGGCAAAAAAUCCUUUAUUUAAAUACAAAUGUUGCAAGAAAAACAGGAAAAAAAUUAUAGCCAGAGUGAAAGCUAAGUGAUCUGGGGCCAGAUUUCCAGAGAGGUGGCUUGUCUUUUAGGGAUGCCAUUUGCUCUUGCUGGAUUUAUCCCUGCAUUCUUGGACCUGCCAUUGAAUUGUGGAUGCAAAUCUAGUUGCAUUUCUGCUGGCAGAAAUCUGAUUGAAGAUGCAAGUCAGUGGUGUAAGUACUCAGACUUGCCUGCAGAAUUCCAUAUGCGGAUGACAGUUUUGCAGGUUCAUUUUCCAUCUGCAGAGGGAGGGCAGGCCUCACCCCUUUGGGAAAUGUACUCCCUUUCAGCGUAUGUCUGACAGGUUUCACAUUUUCCCCCCAGUUCUUGAAAUGGAUGGGGCAGAUUCUUGAGCCUCUUACUGCCUUGAGUAAUCCCAUUGACUCCAAUGGGGCUAUUUGCAAAAGGAAUGGUUGCAAGACCAGAGGUACAAAUUUCAAAAGCAGCUACAAUUCCAUUGGUAUAAGGGAUUGAAGCACUUAGCUGCCUAAGUCCCAGGCCAGGUCUACUCUAGGUAUACUUUGCCGGUAUAGCCAUACUGGUAUACUAGCACUCCUAGUGUGGACAAAGCUUAUACCAGCAAAACUGCAUGUUUGCCAAUACAGGUUAUUUCAUUCCCCAUGAGCUAAAUGAGUUAUGCAGAAAAAGUGCAGUUUUGCUGGUAUAGCUACACCUAUACCAGCUGGCUUUUGCCAGCACAGUUGUGUCCAUCAGGAAUCUGACCUCUUCACAUCCUUGACCAACAUGGCUAUAGACAGCAGAAGUCUGUAGUAGCCCCACUGACACUUCAGAUUGCUUUUUCAUGGCAAAUUCUCUCACAGUCCUGUGGGUUUGUGCCAUGAGAUAUCUUUUUACUCAAACAUUUUAACUCGAUUUACACCUAUCCCUGCCACUAAUUGACUUUAUUUUCUGAGUGAUGGCUUUAACACACCAUUUGUUUUGUAUUGUGGUACUACUCCUUUUAGAAGUCAGUGCUUUCUACAGCAGAGGUAGUGUUAUGGAAAAGAAAGAACCAACUUUCCAGAUUCCAAAUCCUCACAGGCAUUGUAUUCCUUAAGAUAGGCAGCUAGAAUAUAUUUUCUCAUUACUGACAAAAAGAUAGAGGUGUUCUUUUGUGAGCACGAGGCAUCAAGUAAUUUGUAGCAGGCAUGAAUUAUUGCAGUGACUCCAUCCAAAAAAAGGGAACAUCUGUAUCCCAUUUUCACUGGCACCACAAGAUACCUGGCGUAGCCCCAGAACUGUAUGUUUAGCUACAAGGGUUUAAAAUAUGCAGUAAUUUGCUGUUGUGUUAUCUUCUGGUAUUCUCUGCUUUGGAAAAAAUACUUUAUUAAUGGAGUCCUCCCACUGUCUAUUGGCUUUGCUCUAGCCCAGAAUAAAAUGAAUCAAGUUAGAU